rnacentral:tRNA from 1 species
UACCCCGUGGUGUAACGGUAACACAGCGCCCUUUGGAGGAGUUAUUCUUGGUUCGAAUCCAAGCGGGGUAGCCA